rnacentral:rRNA from 1 species
AGUGAACGCUGGCGGUAGGCCUAACACAUGCAAGUCGAACGGCAGCACAGUAAGAGCUUGCUCUUACGGGUGGCGAGUGGCGGACGGGUGAGGAAUACAUCGGAAUCUACUUUUUCGUGGGGGAUAACGUAGGGAAACUUACGCUAAUACCGCAUACGACCUACGGGUGAAAGCAGGGGAUCAUCCGACCUUGCGCGAUUGAAUGAGCCGAUGUCGGAUUAGCUAGUUGGCGGGGUAAAGGCCCACCAAGGCGACGAUCCGUAGCUGGUCUGAGGGGAUGAUCAGCCACACUGGAACUGAGACACGGUCCAGACUCCUACGGGAGGCAGCAGUGGGGAAUAUUGGACAAUGGGCGCAAGCCUGAUCCAGCCAUACCGCGUGGGUGAAGAAGGCCUUCGGGUUGUAAAGCCCUUUUGUUGGGAAAGAAAAGCAGCAGGUUAAUACCCCGCUGUUCUGACGGUACCCAAAGAAUAAGCACCGGCUAACUUCGUG